rnacentral:lncRNA from 1 species
CGAAUACUAAAGUCACUAAAAGAUCGACUUUUGUUAUCAUCUGAGGGCUUAGACAUACAUUGGGAUCGAGUGGGAAACUCAUUGGAAUCAGUCACUAAGGAAUCGGUGGUAAGUCUUCUCCAAAACUUAGUCUUCUUACAUAUUUUAGGAAAAGCCAAAAUCCCUAAAAGUUAGGGAGGUUAUCGAUUUGGACUUGUAACCCUGAGGGGUCAUAAUAACUAUUUUGUAUUGGUAAUAGCGUGAUUUAGAGGUGGUUGAUCAAAGG